CCAUGGAAAGGCUUUUGUACCCUGCCACCCUCAAGUCUGCUGGGUUUCAGUAGCACUGGAUUUGUCAUGCUGCAUGGGCUUCAAAAGCCAAUCCACUGUCUCUCUAACUUGCUGUCUUGGGCAGCAGCCCCAUUCAGUCAGUAGGGGUAGGUACCUUGCAAUGCUUCUUCCCUUUGCUCCCUGCAAGAGGCAAAAAGGAAGCUGCUUCUGUAUGCUUUGCUGUGCCUGUCCUCUCCUUGACAUGGCACAGCCGCCAGGAGCUUGGAUGGCUGUUGACAGAAAGGUAUGGGCUCCCGAGAGGCCCAGCUGCCUGCAUACACUCCCGGGCCCUGCUGCCCUGUGCCCCGGAUUUCCCAGGCUGCAGGCGGCGCUGGGCGGAGCGAGGGAACCCGGGCAGCAUGUGCCGCCCCGUGUGGAGCUGAGGGGAAGAUGCUCCCUACUCCUGGCAGCUUUCCUCAGGGAGCAGGGGCUCCCUGUGUGGCCGAGGAGGGCCAGCCUGGCAUGAAUGGAGACCUUGUAUCGAGGACCUCACUGGAGCCGGGAGCCACAACACAGGGGCUUUUCACUAGCAACCUCGCAACAGAGGCGGCAUUGAGCCUGACUGGUGGCUCGCGGGCGGACAUGGUGUCUGGCGGACGCGUGGCAUUGGUGGCACAACAUUGCUGUCUCUCCUGCCCCUACCUUGCCGGGGUCGGGUGGGAGCUGCAGAGGUCUUCUCUCGGAGGGGAAGAUGCAGAGAGCCAUACUGUCAUAGUGGUGACCAACUCCUGGUUCACUCAGGACCAAAGGAUUUGGGGGAUGUGGGACUUUCAGUGCUAAAACUAGGACAGUGGUGGGAGAAUCUGGGAAGACUUCAACGGACAAAGGAGCCUACAAGUUUGACUUGGCCACUGCGAGGUGGAGGUGGAGCAAAGGGCGGCCACCUGGGACCGCGCUGGGUGACACCACGUAGAGCCACAGCCCGUUUCUCCGCCACGCCCUGUCUUCAGAGCAGCCCCGCUUCAGCUUCCAUGUCUGCUCUGUCGGGGCUGGGUGGCAGUCACUGUCAAGCUGUGGUGACUCACUGAUCCCUGGGGUUGAGCUUUUUCCUGAGCUCAUUGACAGGCAGGCCCUGCGGGGCUGGGGAGCAGUCCUGGAGGCCUAGCACACCCAGUCCUCUCAAAAUGACAGCUGCCUCAGGGCAGGUGGUUGGUGGGGGCCGGGGGUGGGGGAGGGGAUCUGAUUUCCAGGAAAAAUACUGUUGUGUUUUCACCCUUUCAUCAGAAACAAAUAAUCCCAACCAGGGCACCUUGGGGCAUUGGUGGGUUCAUGUUCAGCUGUCACUCUGGGGGUGUCCAUCUCUGUCCUUCAGAGCCUCCCCUGGGGCCCCACCCAGACUCUCACAAGCUCACAGGCUCAGGGCAGGAGGCCCCCUGGAUAAAAGCCUGGAGGCAGAGGGGACAAACUCAAGGUGAGCCCCAGGAGAGCAGAGGCUCUUGGCCCUGACAGGGCUCAGCUAACCAGAGCAGGCUGAGGCUGCCUGUGCCAGGACCCCACAGCACCCCCUCAACUCCGAGAACUGCUUCGUCUCUUCCUUUUCCCUUCCCUUCUCUCUCUUCCCCAGGGGGCAGUCCCCGCAUCACAUCUGGGCCCAGGAGAGGAUGACAUGGGUGGACCAAUCUCCCUUCCCUGCCCCAGCUGCUUUGCUUUUCUUUGUGGUACUGAGAACCACCUGAAAGGGACCACCUGUCUUGAAUGAGGGCGGAGACCAGUAUAUUCAUUGCUAACUAUGUCCCAGCACUUAGACCAGUGCCCAGUGCAUCAUAGUUAAUGAGUGAGGCCAAAUAUUCAUUUCCAUGCCUCAGGCCCUGGUGACUGAACACAGGGCAGCGCCCAGGCUUUGUGUUGGGAAGGUUUCUGGACAAACAGCUGGGAACCUGGAACUGGGGAGAGCCCUCUUCGUUUCUGCAACUGCUUUUUUUUAAACCCUGGGGAGUCAGAGAAGCAGAAGGAGGUUUGGGGGGUAUGGGGCCCUGGGCUCAAGCCCUAAUGCUUGCCUUACCU